GGGUUGUGAGGUUAAGCGACUAAGCGUACACGGUGGAUGCCCUGGCAGUCAGAGGCGAUGAAGGACGUGCUAAUCUGCGAUAAGCGUCGGUAAGGUGAUAUGAACCGUUAUAACCGGCGAUUUCCGAAUGGGGAAACCCAGUGUGAUUCGUCACACUAUCAUUAACUGAAUCCAUAGGUUAAUGAGGCGAACCGGGGGAACUGAAACAUCUAAGUACCCCGAGGAAAAGAAAUCAACCGAGAUUCCCCCAGUAGCGGCGAGCGAACGGGGAGGAGCCCAGAGCCUGAAUCAGUGUGUGUGUUAGUGGAAGCGUCUGGAAAGGCGCGCGAUACAGGGUGACAGCCCCGUACACAAAAAUGCACAUGCUGUGAGCUCGAUGAGUAGGGCGGGACACGUGGUA
rnacentral:rRNA from 1 species